rnacentral:ncRNA from 1 species
GUGUUGUAUGAAAAGAGAGAAGGUUAGCACUCCCCUUGACAAGGAUGGAAGAAACUCAGGAGCCUGACAGCAUGCAUAUGGUCAAGGCAUUGCCACCUACUUCAUGGCAUCUAACCAUGGGGCUUU